UACGAAGGGGGCUAGCGUUGCUCGGAAUCACUGAGCGUAAAGGGUGCGUAGGCGGGUCUUUAAGUCAGGGGUGAAAUCCUGGAGCUCAACUCCAGAACUGCCUUUGAUACUGAGGAUCUUGAGUUCGGGAGAGGUGAGUGGAACUGCGAGUGUAGAGGUGAAAUUCGUAGAUAUUCGCAAGAACACCAGUGGCGAAGGCGGCUCACUGGCCCGAUACUGACGCUGAGGCACGAAAGCGUGGGUAGCAAACAGG
rnacentral:rRNA from 1 species